rnacentral:rRNA from 1 species
UACGUAGGGUGCGAGCGUUGUCCGGAAUUACUGGGCGUAAAGAGCUCGUAGGUGGUUUGUCGCGUUGUUCGUGAAAACCGGGGGCUUAACCCUCGGCGUGCGGGCGAUACGGGCAGACUUGAGUACUGCAGGGGAGACUGGAAUUCCUGGUGUAGCGGUGGAAUGCGCAGAUAUCAGGAGGAACACCGGUGGCGAAGGCGGGUCUCUGGGCAGUAACUGACGCUGAGGAGCGAAAGCGUGGGGAGCGAUCAGG